AACGCGAAGAACCUUACCAGGUCUUGACAUCCCUUUGACCGGUGCAGAGAUGUACCUUUCCUUCGGGACAGAGGAGACAGGUGGUGCAUGGUUGUCGUCAGCUCGUGUCGUGAGAUGUUGGGUUAAGUCCCGCAACGAGCGCAACCCUUGAGCUUAGUUGCCAGCACGUAAAGGUGGGCACUCUAGGCUGACUGCCGGUGACAAACCGGAGGAAGGCGGGGAUGACGUCAAAUCAUCAUGCCCCUUAUGACCUGGGCUACACACGUACUACAAUGGCCGGUACAACGGGUCGCGAAGCCGCGAGGCGGAGCCAAUCCUACCAAAGCCGGUCUCAGUUCGGAUUGCAGGCUGCAACUCGCCUGCAUGAAGUCGGAAUUGCUAGUAAUCGCGGAUCAGCAUGCCGCGGUGAAUACGUUCCCGGGCCUUGUA
rnacentral:rRNA from 1 species